AUGGAACAAUGUAGGCAAGGGAAGUCGGCAAAACGGAUCCGUAACUUCGGGAAAAGGAUUGGCUCUGAGGACUGGGCUCGGGGGUCCCGGCCCCGAACCCGUCGGAUGUCGGCGGAUUGCUCGAGCUGCUCACGCGGCGAGAGCGGGUCGCCGCGUGCCGGCCGGGGGACGGACCGGGAAUCGCCCCUUCGGGGGCUUUCCCCGAGCAUGAAACAGUCGACUCAGAACUGGUACGGACAAGGGGAAUCCGACUGUUUAAUUAAAACAAAGCAUUGCGAUGGUCCUCGCGGAUGCUGA
rnacentral:rRNA from 1 species